rnacentral:lncRNA from 10 species
AAUCACUGCUCUGUAAAAUGGACCAAUCAGCAGGAUGUCGGUGGGGUCAGAUAAGGGCAUAAAAGCAGGCUGCUGUAGCCAGCAUUGGCAACCUGCUCAGGUCGCCUUCCACCCCGUGGAAGGUUUUUAUUUCGCUCUUUGAGAUAAAUCUUGCUGCUGCUCACUCUUUGGGUCUGUGCCGCCUUUAUGAGCUCUAACACUCACUGUGAAGGUCUGCACCUUCACUCCUGAGGCCAGCGAGACCACUAACCCACCCAGAGGGAUGAACAGCUCCGGACAGGAGGAACCAACGGAUCCAGAUGCGCCGCCUGAAGAGCUGUAACACUCACCAGGAAGGUCUGCAGUUUCACUCCUGAAGCCAGCGAGACCAUAAACUCCGGACACAGCAUCUUUAAGAACUGGUAACACUCACCGCGAGGGUCCGCAGCUUCGUUCUUGAAGUCAGUGAGACCAAGAACCCACAAAUUCUGGACACAAUAUUAUUUACGGCCAGAAACAAACUACCUUUAUUUCUAGUGUUGUUACAUUGCAUAGAUAAUUUUUCAAUAAUAUUCUGGUUUGUCUGUCUCCUACUUUGAAUGUUACACCUACCCUUUCUCCUAAUAUAUAAAUAUUUCAAAUACAACUAAAAAAAGCAGCUCUUCUUUUAUUAUCAGUGACUGUAUUUUCUAUGGGAAUAAAUCCCCAGUCUUUAUCAUAAGGUGUUAAUGCAUUUUGUGAUGGAGUAUGGCCUGUCCUUCUAUUCAAGCACCACCACCACCCCACUCCCUGCUGCCCUGGACAACAUCCCCUAUCACACUCAGUGACUUUACUAUUUCUCUAAGAGAUCAUGUUCCAGUAUGCAUCCUGCUUUUGGGGGGCUGGAGUGGGGUAUAUGCAGUUUUGUUUAUCCACAGUGUGCUCUAUUUGUCCACUUGACAAUCUUCUAUUCAUUUCUCAAGCCUCAAGUCACAUACCACUUGUGGAGCCUUCACUUAAAGCCCCA